GCCUGGGUGGCUCAGUCGGUUGAGCAUCCGACUUCGGCUCAGGUCACGAUCUCGCGGUCCGUGAGUUCGAGCCCCGCAUCAGGCU
rnacentral:tRNA from 1 species